rnacentral:lncRNA from 1 species
ACUGACGGCGCCGUUCCUCUACCCGCCGUCAUGAAAGCUCCGAUCCGACCCGACGUCGUAACCUACGUCCACUCGAACAUUUCCAAAAAUGCCCGUCAACCUUACGCCGUUUCCAAAAAAGCUGGUCAUCAAACCUCCGCUGAGUCAUGGGGUACUGGACGUGCUGUUUCACGUAUCCCUCGUGUCGCCGGUGGCGGAACCCACCGUGCUGGGCAAGCUGCUUUUGGUAACAUGUGUCGUGGUGGUCGCAUGUUCGCUCCGACCAAAAUCUGGCGCCGUUGGCACCGUAAGAUCCCCGUUAACCAAAAGCGUUACGCUGUUGCUUCAGCUAUUGCUGCGUCUGCUGUUCCUUCGCUUGUCCUUGCGCGUGGUCAUCGUAUUGAAUCAGUUCCUGAGCUCCCUCUUGUUGUUUCGGAUUCAGUUGAGAGCAUUGAAAAGACUUCUAAUGCUGUCAAAGCUUUAAAACAAAUUGGUGCUUAUCCUGAUGCUGAGAAAGCUAAGGACAGUC